rnacentral:pre_miRNA from 1 species
CACAUACUCCCCCGUCCUAAAAAGCUUGUCGAUCAACUGGAUGUAUAUAGCACUAACUUAGUGCUAGAUACAUUCAUUUUGAGCGACAAGCCUUUUGGGACGGAGGGAGUAUAUU